CAGCCGCCACGGUAAUGCGUAGGGGGCAAGCGUUAUCCGGAUUUACUGGGUGUAAAGGGAGCGUAGACGGAAUGGCAAGUCUGAAGUGAAAUGCCCGGGCUCAACCCGGGAACUGCUUUGGAAACUGUCGAUCUGGAGUGUUGGAGAGGUAAGUGGAAUUCCUGGUGUAGCGGUGAAAUGCGUAGAGAUCAGGAAGAACACCGGAGGCGAAGGCGGCUUACUGGACAAAGACUGACGUUGAGGCUCGAAAGCGUGGGAAGCAAACAGGAUUAGAUACCCCUGUAGUCCCUGUCUCUUAUAC
rnacentral:rRNA from 1 species